rnacentral:rRNA from 1 species
UACAGAGGGGGCAAGCGUUAUUCGGAAUUAUUGGGCGUAAAGGGCGCGUAGGCGGCCUGACAAGUGGAAGGUGAAAUCCCUCGGCUUAACCGAGGAACUGCCCUCCAAACUGUUUGGCUUGAGACCGGGAGAGGUGAGUGGAAUUCCCAGUGUAGCGGUGAAAUGCGUAGAUAUUGGGAGGAACACCAGCGGCGAAGGCGGAUCUCUGGGCCGAUACUGACGCUGAGGAGCGAAAGCGUGGGGAGCGAACAGG